CCCUAUGGGGUCAGCAGUACCCGUUCCUCGAAAGCACUGAAACCGGGUUGAAUGCCAGCCAGGCGACGCAAAAAGAAAUUGAUGAGGAAGUAAAAAGAAUCAUCUCGGAACAAUACCAGCGCGCGCAGCAAUUGUUGCUGGAUCACAAAGAGGCGCUGACGGCAUUAACCCAGAAGUUACUGGAAACCGAAACAGUGGAUGGAGAAAUGGUAAAGCAAGUCCUGCGGGCAGGGUGAAUCAGGCAAAAAGCCUGUUCACCUUGUAUGGCAGUUCAGAGGACAACAAAAGAAGAGGUUUUGUAAAAAUGAUGUCAAUAGCCGGGUGAUUAAUACCACCCAUAGCCGCCUUGGUGUAUACCACUGAAAUGAAUUGGCGGGAGAGC
rnacentral:rRNA from 1 species